rnacentral:precursor_RNA from 10 species
GUUCGAAUCGCUCUGUCCCCAGACAAGCACACAUACAACUCGGUCGUAAGACUGUCUGGUAAUGUUCAGAUACGACUAGGUUGUACGUGUAUUUGUACAAUUAAUCCGAAUGGUCAACCA